CACACUAUCAAAGAGCUAGUGAUGCUGGUUGUAAAGGAAUCAAACUGCAGUGCAGUAUUCUUCCCCUCUCCUUACCUUUCAGGCAGUACCUUAAUGAAAUGAAGAAAACUGACAGAGACAGAUGAGAACUCAGUGUGACAACUGUUUUUAGAGGAAUGCUGAGCCGAAACAAUUUGAUGCAAGCAAUAUUAUGAUCAAUAACACCUCCUAGGCUUGCUCAUUCCAUUAUCUACAGGAAAAACAAAAUUAUCCUUUUUUUAUGGUGUAGUCUAAAUCCAUUUCUCAGACCAUUUCCAAUAUUUCUUGAAAAACUGCUGGGAAGGCUUCAGGAAAGACAGGAAGAGAUGUGUGAAGAAAAAAGCACCGGAGGUACAACUAGAAAUGAGACAAGUUU